rnacentral:tRNA from 1 species
GGAGAGGUGGCCGAGCGGCUGAAGGCGCCCGCCUGCUAAGCGGGUAUACGGUUUAACACCGUAUCGAGGGUUCGAAUCCCUCUCUCUCCA